CAAAUACUCCCUCCGUCCGGAAAUACUUGUCAUCAAAAUGGAUAAAAGGAAAUGUAUCUAGACAUAUUUUAGUUUUAGAUACAUCUCUUUUUAUCCAUUUUGAUAACAAGUAUUUUCGGACGGAGGGAGUAGAAA
rnacentral:pre_miRNA from 1 species